UAUCCUGGUGUUCAUGGCGAUGUGGAACCACUCCGAUCCAUCUCGAACUCGGUUGUGAAACGCAUCAGCGGCGAAAAUAUUUAGGGGGUAGCCCCUUGAGAAAAUAGCUCAAUGCCAGGUAA
rnacentral:rRNA from 14 species